AUUGAACGCUGGCGGCAGGCCUAACACAUGCAAGUCGAGCGAGCGGCGGACGGGUGAGUAAUGUAUGGGGAUCUGCCCGAUAGAGGGGGAUAACUACUGGAAACGGUGGCUAAUACCGCAUACCAUCAGAUGAACCCAUAUGGGAUUAGCUAGUAGGUGGGGUAAAGGCUCACCUAGGCGACGAUCUCUAGCUGGUCUGAGAGGAUGAUCAGCCACACUGGGACUGAGACACGGCCCAGACUCCUCCGGGAGGCAGCAGUGGGGAAUAUUGCACACUGGGCGCAAGCCUAAUGCAGCCAUGCCGCGUGUAUGAAGAAGGCCUUAGGGUUUAAAGGUACGUUCAGCGGGGAGGCGUUACCCGCAGAAGAAGCACCGGCUAACUCCGUGCCAGCAGCCGCGGUAAUAC
rnacentral:rRNA from 1 species